ensembl:lncRNA TPT1-AS1 TPT1 antisense RNA 1
UUUCUACCAGACAGAUACAACAGACAGAAAUAACCUCAAGAGCACAGACACUAGUGAAUAAUUAGGAAGUGGUGAAGUUUAUUUGCCUUUGUCUUUAAUAUAAUCUAUUUAACUAUGUUUAUAUAACUUAAUUGUUAAUAAUGUCUGUAAUAACCGGCCCACAAAUUUCCUGAAAGUGUGACAAUCUGCUCUCAUACGCUGCUGGACCAGUUCCAGCACGCCACUGUUCCUGCCCCAGUUGUGGGAUCUGCUCUAACCUCCAGCUGCCCCACGCCUCAGCAUACAGUCACAGCGAAGGCAUGGUGGGCAAACUUCUGAGUUACAUGGCCACAGCGGUUUUUUGUUUGCUUGUUUGUUUUUGUAUGUUUGUUUGUUUAGAGACAGUUUGCUCUGUCCCCCAGGCUGGAGUGCAGUGGCGUAAUCGUGGCUCACUGCAGCCUCAAACUCCUGGGAUCAAGAGAUCUUCCCACCUCAGCUUCCCAAGGGGCUGGGACUACAGGCACAUACCAACACACCCAGUUAAUGUUUUUAAUUUUUUUUUAAGACAGAGUCUCACUCUGUCGCCCAGGCUGGAGUGCAGUGGCACGAUCUCUGCUCACUGCAAGCUCCGCCUCCCAGGUUCAUGCCAUUCUCCUGCCUCAGCCUCCCAGCUAGCUGGGACUACAGGUGCCCAUCACCACGCCUGGCUAAUUUUUUGUAUUUUUAGUAGAGACGGGGAUUCACCAUGUUAGCUAGAAUAGUCACGAUCUCCUGACCUCAUGAUCCGCCCGCCUCGGCCUCCCAAAGUGCUGGGAUUACAGGCGUGAGCCACCGUGCCCAGCCAAUUUUUUAAAAUUUUUUGAGGCCAGGAACAGCAGCUCCUGCCUGUAAUCCCAGCACUUUGGGAGGCCGAAGCAGGAGGAUCUCCUGAGCCUAGGAGUUCAAGACCUGCCUGGGCGAUAUAGGGAGACCCCAUUUCUACAAAAAAUUUAAAAAUUAGCAGGGUGUGGUGGUGCGUGCCUGUAGUCCCAGCUACUCGGGAGGCUGGGGUGGGAGGAUUACCUGAACUGGGAGGUGAAGGUUUCAGUGAGCUGAGAUCACACCACUGCACUCCAAUCUAGGUGAGAGACCUUGCUUCAAAAAAAAAAUUGAGCUCCUGGGCUCAAGCAAUCCUCCUGCCUUGGCCUCCCAAAGCACUGGGACUUUUACAGGCACCACCAGUUAUUACAGAACUCAAAAGCAACUGUGCACUGGACCACUCUGUAUUGUGUUCGGUGAGGCCAUGCCCGCGUAUAGAUACAGGAAUGCUGAGGAACAGCACUGAAGAGUGACCUAAACAGCAAUCACCAACUGCUGGUGUUUGGCUUUGUUCCUCAUAUGAAAGGAUUUGAAGCCCAGGGAGUAGGCUGGUUGAAUGAAAAAUAUUUGCUUGACACGAUAGUUGCUAUUUCUAGAUGAAUUCAGGGAACUAUGGGAGCCUCUCACAAGCAUGAAAAAUCCAAGUAUUCAGAUGGAAGUUGGGGCUCUUAUUUUCCAGCUUGGGCCUGUACCAGGGCUACAAGGACAUACAAUGCUAAAUCAAUUAAAAACCAAAAUCUACUCAAAACCAUUUAUUUCAAAAAAGUUCUGGAGAUGGAUGGUGGCGAUGGUUACACAGCAAUGUGAAUGUGCUUAAUGUCACUGAACUGUACGCUUAAAAAUGGUUAGGAUGGUAAAGUUUUUUUUUUUUUUCCUUAGGGGGAUCCUUUAUUUCAUUCACUUCCUCCUUACAAGGUGAAAUUUCAAUCUGUACAGGUUGUGUCUGCCAGUUCAGUCCACAGCUCAGAGUAUCACCUUGUCCUCAUUCCAUGGUAUAAGCUGUUGUGGGGGGACAGGUCUGAGGGUCGUGGAUUCACUGGACUGGAUGGGACAUGAUCCAGAACUCCACUCCGUUUGGCUUCCCAAGGAUCCCACCACCUCAUUCUAAUCAGUGAUCAUUGAGGAAAUGCAUUGUAUUCCUAUUCACUAUUUCAAAGAUCAGGCCUACCUCAUUGGCAUAUUAAGAAAGUUUUCUCAAGUAUAUUUAGUGUUUAUCAUUUUACUAUAGUUCUUCAAAUGUCUGACAUUCAUCCUUUCCCUACCUCUACAUUCCUUUCUUUUUCACAUUAUCUUUCUUGAUUGCUUUUUAAUAGAAAAACAAACAAAGACAUGGAUUUACUGUGCAUAUUAGCAGAUCCAUACUGGAAAAUGCAUGGAGGUUUCAUAUACACCACUUACAGGUUUCCAAAGCCACAAUUUCCUUCAUAUGUUCAAACUCUUCAGGAUGCAGAAAGGCAGUGAACUCCUCCGGAGUAGCUGUCAGGUCACCAUUGAGGUCUGCAGCUUUGAAUCUUCUCUCAUCACGUGGCAGCAUCUUUUUAAAGGUGUGAUGAUCUGAAGAAUCAUGAAACUCUGCGGGGUUUCCUAGGUUUUCAGCUCCUCAGUAGUGACAAAGCCAUACCCAUCAUUGUCGAUUCGAUCAACAAUCUUCCCUAGCCUCUCCUUGCUCUCGUCCGGGGUGAGCUCGUCGAAGUUCUUGGAGUCCUCCUUGCCCAGGAAGGCCUCGUGGUCGUACUGGAAGCUCUGGUUGUCCUCAGGGGGCCGCUCGCCCAGCUCCGAGUCGGGCCGCACCACGCGCUCUUUGCGCACCGUGGGCUUGGCCCGCAGAACCCGCGGCGCCAGCACCAGCGCCAGCAGCAGCCCCAGGGCUAACCCCAGGCGGCCACCGCGCGCCAUCGUCCCGAGGAGAGGGCGGCCGGGAGGGAGACGCUGAGCGAGCGACAACAGCGGCAGCUCGGGAAUGGGGGCUCGGAGCGCGGCGGCCAAGUUUUAUGUUAUGUAUAUUUUACAAGUAAAAAAAUUUUUUCACCUCAGCCUGAACUGAACACUAGCUGACAGACGUUUUGAUUUCUUUGACCAUCACGGAAUCGUGGCCAAGCGCGGUGGCUCACAUCUGUAAUCCCAACACUUUGGGAGGUCAAGAUGGGCGGAUUGCUUGAAUCCAGGUGUUUGAGAUCAGCCUGGGCAACAUGACAAAACCCUGUUUCUAGUAAAAAUACAAAAAUUAACCAGG